UGUUCAGCAACUCCUAUCCCUGACUCCACGUGGCACCAGCCGGGCUGCGAGCAACCUUAAGAAAGUUCGGAUAACCAACCUCGGUGGGAACUUCGUUGGCUGACAGGGAAGG
rnacentral:ribozyme from 1 species